AUGAAAUGUCUUCCUGUCCAUGGACAAACACUUGUUAAUUCCAGAAACCCGGAUGCAGUCUUUCACAUGUCCCGCAGUCCCUCCACUCCCAGAGACCCUUUCUGCAGCCCUGCAGAAUGUACUCUCACCAUUCCAUCGCUCAUUAGUGCCGCCACAGACUCAUUUGCCUUGGGAAUGAAAACAAAUCGAUGCCCCCUUUAUGCACUGAAUUUGCGUAAGCAUCCGUGGCGGAUGAUACAUAUCUGUAGUGAACAUGAAGGUAAAUGUUUCGAAGAUGCUAUUGGAAUUCAUCUGACUCUAUUUCUCACAGAACAAGCACACAGGGAAAGGCAAGAAAAGAUGAGCAAGAAAUCAAACCAUGCGAUGAUUUCCAGCCUUGGGGUUGUCAGUGAAAGAGAUGGCAUCACAUCUGUACCAAGGCAUUUGGAAGCAAUACAGUGGCCCCAGAAGCUAAGUGUUGAGAUGGCAGAGCUAUAA
rnacentral:lncRNA from 1 species